rnacentral:rRNA from 1 species
CGAGAAGCGAACCUGCGAAGGCAAGCGGAUCUCUUAAAGCCGUUCUCAGUUCGGACUGUAGGCUGCAACUCGCCUACACGAAGCUGGAAUCGCUAGUAAUCGCGGAUCAGCACGCCGCGGUGAAUACGUUCCCGGGCCUUGUACACACCGCCCGUCACACCAUGAGAGUCUGUAACACCCAAAGCCGGUGGGAUAACCUUUAUAGGAGUCAGCCGUCUAAGGUAGGACAGAUGAUUAGGGUGAAGUCGUAACAAGGUAGC